rnacentral:rRNA from 1 species
CGGACGGGUGAGUAAUGUCUGGGAAACUGCCCGAUGGAGGGGGAUAACUACUGGAAACGGUAGCUAAUACCGCAUAACGCCGCAAGACCAAAGAGGGGACCGUUCGGGCCUCUUGCCAUCGGAUGUGCCCAGAUGGGAUUAGCUAGUAGGUGGGGUAACGGCUCACCUAGGCGACGAUCCCUAGCUGGUCUGAGAGGAUGACCAGCCACACUGGAACUGAGACACGGUCCAG